AUUGAACGCUGGCGGAAUGCUUUACACAUGCAAGUCGAACGGUAACGCGGGGGCAACCCUGGCGACGAGUGGCGAACGGGUGAGUAAUACAUCGGAACAUGUCCUGGAGUGGGGGAUAGCUCGGCGAAAGCCGGAUUAAUACCGCAUACGCUCUGAGGAGGAAAGCGGGGGACCUUCGGGCCUCGCGCUGCAGGAGUGGCCGAUGUCGGAUUAGCUAGUUGGUGGGGUAAAGGCCUACCAAGGCAUCGAUCAGUAGCUGGUCUGAGAGGACGACCAGCCACACUGGGACUGAGGCACGGCCCAGACUCCUACGGGAGGCAGCAGUGGGGAAUUUUGGACAAUGGGCGCAAGCCUGAUCCAGCAAUGCCGCGUGAGUGAAGAAGGCCU
rnacentral:rRNA from 1 species